rnacentral:rRNA from 1 species
UACGGAGGUGGCAAGCGUUGCUCGGAAUCACUGGGCGUAAAGGGUGCGUAGGCGGGGAGGUAAGUCGGGUGUGAAAUCCCUCGGCCCAACCGAGGAACUGCGCCCGAGACUGCUUCUCUUGAGUCCCGGAGAGGAAGAUGGAAUUCCCGGUGUAGCGGUGAAAUGUGUAGAGAUCGGGAGGAACACCGGUGGCGAAGGCGGUCUUCUGGACGGUGACUGACGCUGAGGCGCGAAAGCGUGGGGAGCGAACAGG